ACUCAAAUGAAUAGACGGGGGCCCGCACAAGCAGCGGAGCGUGUGGUUUAAUUCGACGCAACGCGCAGAACCUUACCCAGAUUUGACUUGCACCUGCAAGCUGGAGAAAUCCAGUCGCCUUCGAGGGUGGUGCACAGAUGCUGCAUGGCUGUCGUCAGCUCGUGUCGUGAGAUGUUGGGUUAAGUCCCGCAACGAGCGCAACCCCCGCGGUCAGUUACUUGUGUCUGGCCGGACAGCCCUUCGGGGAGGAAGGCGGGGAUGACGUCAAGUCCGCAUGGCUCUUACAUCUGGGGCGACACACACGCUACAAUGGCAGCGACAGUGCGCAGCGACCCGGCAACGGGAAGCGAAUCGCCAAACGCUGCCUCAGUGCAGAUCGGGGGCUGCAACUCGCCCCCGUGAAGGCGGAGUUGCUAGUAACCGCGUAUCAGCCACGGCGCGGUGAAUACGUACCCGGGCCUUGUACACACCGCCCGU
rnacentral:rRNA from 1 species